AAAUUGAAGAGUUUGAUCAUGGCUCAGAUUGAACGCUGGCGGCAGGCCUAACACAUGCAAGUCGAGCGGUAGCACAGAGAGCUUGCUCUCGGGUGACGAGCGGCGGACGGGUGAGUAAUGUCUGGGAAACUGCCUGAUGGAGGGGGAUAACUACUGGAAACGGUAGCUAAUACCGCAUAAUGUCGCAAGACCAAAGUGGGGGACCUUCGGGCCUCAUGCCAUCAGAUGUGCCCAGAUGGGAUUAGCUAGUAGGUGGGGUAACGGCUCACCUAGGCGACGAUCCCUAGCUGGUCUGAGAGGAUGACCAGCCACACUGGAACUGAGACACGGUCCAGACUCCUACGGGAGGCAGCAGUGGGGAAUAUUGCACAAUGGGCGCAAGCCUGAUGCAGCCAUGCCGCGUGUGUGAAGAAGGCCUUCGGGUUGUAAAGCACUUUCAGCGGGGAGGAAGGCGGUGAGGUUAAUAACCU
rnacentral:rRNA from 1 species